AUAUGCUUAGCAGCAUCCCAAGGCGAGGAAAGCAUCUCUUGUCCUUUUGAAGCUUUUUCAAAUGCUUCUUUUGCCUUCUCAUAACUUUUAGCAAGCCUAAAUCCAUUAGCUGCCUGCUCAUACAAACCAGUAGCACUUUUCCAAUCAAUACUCCACCUGGUAAAACUUAGUUUUGUCAGUUUAUCGGCUUUGCUGAUCAACUUUUCAGGAUCGGAACCCAUGGCUGAUGUGCUGUGAGUUCCUUUCUUG
rnacentral:misc_RNA from 1 species